UCUUUGAAACCAUACCCCAAAAUACAAGUAGCAAGCUCAAGUCGAUUUACUGAACCAUAAAGAAAGGAAAAGAAGAAAACUGGCUCAUUGUUACAAAUCACUUCCUACUGUGGAUUAGAAGUCUUCUUAUUUUCUGCUUUUCAUCUAAAUUCAACAUCAUGAUGCUGCAAUACAAUCAAAAGAAAAUGCUGUAAAUAUAAAAAUGUUAAUUUAAAGCUAUACACAUACCAGGUUCAAAGAAGAUGCAAGCCACAUGUCAGUGGGAUUGCCUGGGUUCAUCUGGACAGUCCAGCUCAUACAACAAGCAGGCCGGUGACUCUUUAGGCAAAUGCGAAUGUUUUAUAGAUUAAAUAAAUCAUCUUUCCGUUUUUUUAAGAUUAUUAAAUAUUCUGCAGAAAAAUCCGA